CAGUAGCCGCGGGAAUACGAAGGGGGCUAGCGUUGUUCGGAAUUACUGGACGUAAAGGGUGCGUAGGCGGCCAUUCAAGUUAGAUGUGAAAGCCCUGGGCUCAACCUAGGAAUUGCAUUUGAUACUGUUUGGCUUGAGUUCGGGAGAGGUGAGUGGAAUUCCCAGUGUAGAGGUGAAAUUCGUAGAUAUUGGGAAGAACACCAGUGGCGAAGGCGGCUCACUGGACCGACACUGACGCUGAGGCGCGAAAGCGUGGGGAGCAAACAGGAUUAGAUACCCCAGUAGUCCCUGUCUCUUAUAC
rnacentral:rRNA from 1 species